UACGUAGGGUGCAAGCGUUGUCCGGAAUCAUUGGGCGUAAAGAGCGUGUAGGCGGCUCGAUUAGUCCGCUGUAAAAGUCCAGGGCUCAACCCCUGGGAUGCCGGUGGAAACUGUCGGGCUAGAGUCCGGGAGAGGCGAGUGGAAUUCCUGGUGUAGCGGUGAAAUGCGCAGAUAUCAGGAGGAACACCAAUGGCGAAGGCAGCUCGCUGGAACGGUACUGACGCUGAGACGCGAAAGCGUGGGGGAGCAAACAGG
rnacentral:rRNA from 1 species